GACGAACGCUGGCGGCGUGCUUAACACAUGCAAGUCGAACGGAAAGGCCCUGCUUUUGUGGGGUGCUCGAGUGGCGAACGGGUGAGUAACACGUGAGUAACCUGCCCUUGACUUUGGGAUAACUUCAGGAAACUGGGGCUAAUACCGGAUAGGAGCUCCUGCUGCAUGGUGGGGGUUGGAAAGUUUCGGCGGUUGGGGAUGGCCUCGCGGCUUAUCAGCUUGUUGGUGGGGUAGUGGCUUACCAAGGCUUUGACGGGUAGCCGGCCUGGGAGGGUGACCGGCCACAUUGGGACUGAGGUACGGCCCAGACUCCUACGGGAGGCAGCAGUGGGGAAUAUUGCACAAUGGGCGGAAGCCUGAUGCAGCAACGCCGCGUGCGGGAUGACGGCCUUCGGGUUGUAAACCGCUUUCGCCUGUGACGAAGCGUGAGUGACGGUAAUGGGUAAAGAAGCACCGGCUAACUACGU
rnacentral:rRNA from 1 species